rnacentral:lncRNA from 1 species
AUGCUCCCAGCGGGGCUGUUGGGGAUGCUGCAAGGCAAAGCUGGUGCUGUGAGGGUGCUGCCGGGUGGGCGGGGGUCCCGCAGCCCCCCUGCCCAUCCCGCGGGCUCUAAGCCCAGUAAACAGGGAGGAGGCUGCAGAGGAUGCUCGCUGUGGUGCCCAGGAGGGAGCGGUCAGCCAGGGGCAUGGAGAUCUUGUCCUCAGCCUGGACAGGGACAUUCUUCAUCAUCACCAUCAUCAUCAUCAUCAUCAUCGUCAUCAUCAUCAUCGUCAUCAUCAUCAUUCCUCAUCGCGGGGGACCCUGAGCCCCCCACGCGCCCCCUGCCCCAGCCGGGUCCUCACCUGCCGGCGCUGGAAGGUCUCGACCACGGUGUCCAGCCCCUGGAUGUUGUCCUUGUCCACGCGGGUCACGAAGCAGGCGCGGUGCAGCCGAGGUCUGUAGCUCACCAGCAGCUUCCUGUAAUCAUAGAUGACAGUGGCCGCGUUCCCGUCCCCGCUGUCCAGGUAGAAAGUGGCCGCGUCCUCUUCCCAGGCUGUCCCAGUCCACAUCCCGCUCCGCAGGACCUGGGGGAGGACGAGGGGGGAUCUCAGAGGCUCCGACAGCCCCUUCCCCCGGGCAUCGGGGCGUCCCUUCUGCCGGCACCGGGGGUCCCCACUCACGGUGUCGGCGUGGAGCUGGUCAAUGCUCAGCCGCAUCAGCAGGGCGCCAGCGAUGAUGAGCACCAGCAGGACCACCACGACCACCGCGAUGAGCAGGCAGCGCAGGCGGCCGCAGCCGCAGCUCAGGAGCUUGCGGGGCAGGGAACAGAGCAGCCGAGGGACGAAGCACAGGGACUUCUUGAGGCAGCCGGAGCAGCUGGCACAGCCGGCACAGCCGGGGCACUUGGGACACUUGGGACACUUGGGACACUGGCAGCACUUGGGCAGGCAGCAGCAUUUGGCGCAGCACCAGCUGCAUUUGGUGCAGCAUUUGGCGCAGCACGUGGCGCAGGGCAAGCAGCAGCCUGGGCAGCAGCAGCCAUUCCCGGAAUCCUGGUGUGGGAAAGCGGGGGGAGAUGCGGUCUGAGGGGUGGAGGUGGGAGCUGGGGAAUGCAGGAGGGGUUGGGGGUCUCAUCCUGCCGCCCCCCAGCAUCCCGCUGCCCCCAGGCACUGGGAAUGCAGCAUCCCAUGGCCCAAACCCCCAUUCCGAGCGCUGGUGCCUCGCUGGGAUAAACUGGGCAAAACCCUGUGCCGAGCUGGCCGCAGGGACACCCCGGUGUGGCAGGGACUCACCUCCUCUUCAAGCAUCACCUGCUUCAUGCUGCUCUCCAUGGCUGCUGCUGCUGCUGCUGCUGCUGCCGCUGCCUCCUCCUCCUCCUCCCAUUCCCAGCCCAGCCUGGCCACAGGGACUGGGAAUUUUAUACUGGGGCACUGGGGUGGGGACAGGAGCGGCCCCUGUGAAGGUUUGGUGGCCCCAGGGUGCAGUCGGGCUCUGGCAUGUGACCCACUCCACCCGUGUUUGCUGAGCGCCCACUCCCAGCUGGAUCCCCCUGGGAACCUGCUGCUCGAGGAGCUCCGAGGGCACUGGGUCAAGGACCCUUGUCCCCAGGCUUGGGAACUUCUCUGCUGCCCAGGAGCGAGGUGGCAGGGCCAAAGCAAACCCUCCAGGGUGGAGCAUCCGGCCGUGGUGAGACCUGGCUCAUGUCCCUUCGCCAGCUCGGGCACCUGGAGCUGCUUGAUGUGGCAAGGAACAAACAGGACAUUCAAGAUUUCCUGUAAUCCGCAGGGAUGGGGUGGGAACGGGGUGGGGAAGUGUCCCUGACCCUCAUUCCGGGUCCCAAGGUCGCUCGGACUCCACUGCUGGUGGCUUCUGGGGCUGGCAGAGGUGCCCACAGUGUGGAUUUUUUUGGGGUGAGGGGGUCCCAGCUCUGACCUGUCCCCCUCAGGUGACAGGGGCACACUGCCGGGCCUUGGUUUUGCCCAUCCACAAGCCCCUUCUGCAACUGGGACCCCCCAGGCAUACCUGAGACCCCCAAAACCCACAGGCAGGUGUUGGGGGGUUGAAUGCUGCCUGUUUUCCCAGGGUGUCAAGGGCCACAAGAGUCCCUCGAGUGGCUCCUGGCUGUUCCCAGUCACUGUGGGAACCCUUAGCACCUUCCAUGGCCCAUGGCACCCUCUUGACCCAACUCCUUAUCACGGAGCUCAUCGAGGGUUUUUUGGGAAGCAGAGCCAC